rnacentral:rRNA from 1 species
AGAUAAUCCCUUUCUCCACCUGGAGAGAGGGUGAAAGAUGGCUUCGGCUAUCACUAAGGGAUGGGCCCGCGGCGCAUUAGCUAGUUGGUAAGGUAACGGCUUACCAAGGCAACGAUGCGUAGCCGACCUGAGAGGGUGAUCGGCCACACUGGGACUGAGACACGGCCCAGACUCCUACGGGAGGCAGCAGUAGGGAAUCUUCCGCAAUGGACGAAAGUCUGACGGAGCAACGCCGCGUGAGUGAGGAAGGCCUUCGGGUCGUAAAGCUCUGUUGUGAGGGAAGAAGCGGUACCGUUCGAAUAGGGCGGUACCUUGACGGUACCUCACCAGAAAGCCACGGCUAACUACGUGCCAGCAGCCGCGGUAAUACGUAGGUGGCAAGCGUUGUCCGGAAUUAUUGGGCGUAAAGCGCGCGCAGGCGGCUUCUUAAGUCUGAUGUGAAAUCUCGGGGCUCAACCCCGAGCGGCCAUUGGAAACUGGGGAGCUUGAGUGCAGAAGAGGAGAGUGGAAUUCCACGUGU